GCAAGUGAGGGACAUUUGGCUUCGACCUCUAUUAUGGCAUCAUGUGCCAGGCAGAUUCAGUUCAUGUAGCUAAAUUGUGUCUCUUUUCUCCUUACUACUACAGAUACCUCAGUCUCAAAGCUUCAUGAUCAGUUGGUAAGGAUGACUUUCCUCAGAGGAGGAAGGUCAUAGAUAAAGGGCAGCUGAGCAGCUGAAAGCUCCUGUGAGACCCUCCAACCAUGCUCUCAUGAGAUGGUAUCAUGCUUACUGCAUGUCUGUUCCACUUCCAUUCCUCACUCAGUUUCUCAAU
ensembl:misc_RNA Gm25430 predicted gene, 25430